rnacentral:rRNA from 1 species
UACGUAGGGUGCAAGCGUUAAUCGGAAUUACUGGGCGUAAAGCGUGCGCAGGCGGUUUUGUAAGUCUGUCGUGAAAUCCCCGGGCUCAACCUGGGAAUUGCGAUGGAGACUGCAAGGCUAGAAUCUGGCAGAGGGGGGUAGAAUUCCAGGUGUAGCGGUGAAAUGCUUAGAUAUCUGGAGGAACACCAGUGGCGAAGGCGGUGUUCUGGGCCUGUACUGACGCUGAUGCGCGAAAGCGUGGGGAGCGAACAGG